rnacentral:snRNA from 1 species
GGAUGUAGGGUGAUCUGACUGCAACAUCUGUCACCCCUAUUGAUCACCAGGGUUGAUUGGCUGAACUAGCUGGCCAGGCAGGUGUCCCCUUCCUCCCUUACCACUUGUACAUCCCUCCUGAAGCUGCACACUACUAGAUCAAAGAGGACAGCCACCCAUAGGAGGACUGUUCGCUUCAUCAGGGGUAUAGAAGUAGCUUUGCUCCCCUGCUGGAACCUCCAAAUAAGUUCUCAAAAUAAGUACAUGAAGCCAUGCCUAAAAUAAUGAAACUUUAAAUGAACUUCCUUU